GACUUUGUAUCACUGUGGUACACGUUCGGUGGAGGAACCAGACUGGAAGUCAACUUGGGUAGAGUCCCCCCCUCCCUGACGGUGCUGCCUCCCUCCGUGGAGGAGCUGCAGCAGGGGAAGGCCACGCUCAUGUGCCCGGCCAACAAGGGCUUCCCCUCAGACUGGAGUCUGUCCUGGAAGGUGGACGGCAGCAGCAGCAUCAGCAACGGGGAGCAGAGCAGGAGCCCCGGGGUGCUGCAGAAGGACGGCCACUACAGCUGGAGCAGCACCCUGAGGCUCCCUGCAGACCAGUGGAGGAAGGUGGUCUCUGUGACCUGUGAGGCCAGCCAGGGCUCCCAGACUCCGCUCUCAGAGACACUGAGGAGAGACCAGUGUUCCCAGUCCUGACCUGACUCACUGGGA